rnacentral:rRNA from 1 species
GAUGAACGCUGGCGGCGUGCCUAAUACAUGCAAGUCGAGCGAACGGACGAGAAGCUUGCUUCUCUGAUGUUAGCGGCGGACGGGUGAGUAACACGUGGAUAACCUAUCUAUAAGACUAGGAUAACUUCGGGAAACCGGAGCUAACACCGGAUGAUAUUUUGAACCGCAUGGUUCAACAGUGAAAGACGGUCUUGCUGUCACUUAUAGAUGGAUCCGCGCUGCAUUAGCUAGUUGGUAAGGUAACGGCUUACCAAGGCAACGAUGCAUAGCCGACCUGAGAGGGUGAUCAGCCACACUGGAACUGAGACACGGUCCAGACUCCUACGGGAGGCAGCAGUAGGGAAUCUUCCACAAUGGGCGAAAGCCUGACGGAGCAACGCCGCGUGAGUGAUGAAGGUCUUCGGAUCGUAAAACUCUGUUAUUAGGGAAGAACAUAUGUGUAAGUAACUGUGCACAUCUUGACGUUACCUAAUCAGAAAGCCACGGCUAACUACGUG